UACGAAGGGGGCUAGCGUUGUUCGGAAUCACUGGGCGUAAAGGGCGCGUAGGCGGCGCGGAAAGUCGUCGGUGAAAGCUCGGGGCUCAACCCUGAGUCUGCCGGUGAUACUCCCGCGCUCGAGCUCACUAGAGGCAGAUGGAAUUCCGGGUGUAGCGGUGGAAUGCGUAGAGAUCCGGAAGAACACCGGUGGCGAAGGCGGUCUGCUGGGGUGAGGCUGACGCUGAUGCGCGACAGCGUGGGGAGCAAACAGG
rnacentral:rRNA from 1 species